rnacentral:misc_RNA from 1 species
UCGUGCCGUCCACCGAACGGUCGGCAGGCGAUCCGCGUCGGUCGCGCUGGGUGGUAUGGUUCCCCAGAGGCCGGUUCUUGUGCUGCCUACCCCUUCAGGGGAAGCGUGCCGCUUGAUGCAAGCCUCCAUCCGGCGCCCCCCAACWGGCGCAGGAGGACAACGGAGCACCCCCCGCGUUCCACCGAGCCUCCGUCGGUCGCUUGGCGCGCGGGGAAGUGCGAUGCUCUCGGACCCAGCGAACGCCGUGGGCGAGGACUCACGUCCCAGUCCCGAUGGAAGCUCCCAUAUAANGCSGACGGCCGCUCCCGUCCCCCGACCGCCCCGGCGGCGWGGGG